rnacentral:lncRNA from 1 species
AUUUUUUUAUUAUGCUAUAUAUAUUUUUUUUUAUGCUUUGGAAAGUUGGGGGAUUAAAGGGAUAUAUGGGUUAAUUCAAUUUUAUUUGGAUCAAAUAUUUAGAUUUUGAUACGGCAAUGAUAAUUAUAUCAAUAUUGGGCUCAUUAGGUAGUUUGUGUUUAAUCACGUAUAGUAGACUCGAGAAAAAGUUAAUUCGGAUAAGUUAGAUUCAAGAUAUUGCAGUUUAUAGAUGUUAUAAAUAAUUAGAUAUUUAUUAAGUUUGUUUAAUAAAUUCUUGAUGACUAGGACACAUGUAGGAUAUGUAUGUAUGUAUCUAUCUUCUAAUCUAAUCUAAAAAGGUUGAACCUCAACCUUCAGGGCCUUACCGCCCCGCCCCUAGAGUUUUGUGAGGAAGUAAAUCUCGGGAUGUGCUCCAACAGGUCAGGGAACAAGAGUUGCUUGUACACUACGCCUACAAAGAGUUCAAUUCCAUGUCUCAGGAAUCGAACCUCCAUACUGCGGCUGCCAGCAAAUCUUCUAAUCUAAUCUAACUACUAUAUAAGAGGGAGUUAUACUUUACGGUUCACAAGCCGUUUAAGCCAUUUAACUAAGCCAGGCCGUGUUAUCCUAUAAGUCUGACUAUUACACUGCUUCAGUACAACUCAUCCAACCAUGUCUCAUUAAUGGUGGUUGGACUAACUAACCAUUUCUUCUCUCUGACAUUUUAUCUCUCUUUCAUUGCUUCUUCACUCCAUUUCACACGCAACCACCAUGUCUGUUUACUCUGUAGAUUUUUUUUAUCUUCUUGUCAAUUUUUUUUCUCUUUUUGUAUGUCUUUCUCUCUCGCUAUUCUCUCUGCUCUAAUUGGUAGCAGUUAGAUCUGUACGAGGAAUUCCCAUGGAGAUGUCCUGAAGAUGGAAUUAGAUACAAGCAAAUUGUAGAAAGGAAGCGGCUAUAGAUGUUUCUAAUUGGACUCAACAAAGAUAUUGAUGCUAUUUGACAGAGAAUUCAAGGAACAAAACCACACCGUUAGCCUUCGAGAAGCAUUCUCUGAUGUCCAACUUAAAGAGAGCAGAAAAAGUCCUUUUUUUAAGUCCGACUACAAGAAAAUAAAUACAAUAGUAGUGUUUAAAAUUUGCAAUUCAUGGUUUCUUUUUGAUGUCUUUCACUACUAGGCCGUAUAUUAUAGUAGCUUGUUUUAAAUGGAAGGAAUAAUUGUGUAAAAAAAAAAAAAAAAGAAGUUCUCUC